UACGAAGGGGGGCUAGCGUUGCUCGGAAUCACUGGGCGUAAAGCGCACGUAGGCGGCUUCUUAAGUCAGGGGUGAAAUCCUGGAGCUCAACUCCAGAACUGCCUUUGAUACUGGGAGGCUCGAGUCCGGAAGAGGUGAGUGGAACGUGCGAGUGUAGAGGUGAAAUUCGUAGAUAUUCGCAAGAACACCAGUGGCGAAGGCGGCUCACUGGCCCGGUACUGACGCUGAGGUGCGAAAGCGUGGGGAGCAAACAGG
rnacentral:rRNA from 1 species